GGUUUAUAAUUGGUUUAUAGAAAAUUUUGAAAAUUUUCUAAAAGUGUUCAAUUCACUUGUAGACUU
rnacentral:tRNA from 1 species